rnacentral:rRNA from 13 species
GAGUGGCGAACGGGUGAGUAACACGUGAGUAACCUGCCCACAACUUUGGGAUAACGCUAGGAAACUGGUGCUAAUACUGGAUAUGUGCUCCUGCUGCAUGGUGGGGGUUGGAAAGCUCCGGCGGUUGUGGAUGGACUCGCGGCCUAUCAGCUUGUUGGUGGGGUGAUGGCCUACCAAGGCGACGACGGGUAGCCGGCCUGAGAGGGUGACCGGCCACACUGGGACUGAGACACGGCCCAGACUCCUAC